AACUCGUACCCCUAAAAAAACUCGUCUCAGCCCUUUUCCAAAUUGUUCCCCAAAUCAAACCCUAGCCAAAUCGAACAUCACCACGAUCUCCCCCCCGCCGCCGCCAACCACCCACCGGAGCGUUGGCUUCAUCCCCACCACCGUCGCACCCUAGCACCCUCCUCAGCCGCCGUAUAGCAACCUCCUUAUCCGCCGGCGAGCAACCUUUGUCGCUUCCUCCUCGACCUCCGCCGCACCGAGCGCCGACUUCCUUCCCCGGCCGACCAACGUCGCCGCUCCCAAACACCCUCCGCCGCACCCGAAGCGCUGCCUCCCGGUGCUUUCUCUCCAGGUAGCACCGCGGCCUAGCACCCCGGCCAUCGUCGACUUGCUCACUUCGUCAAGCAGCGCCGCCUCCUGCAGGAGCUCCCCCGGCCAGCAGCACCUCCUCCUCCACGAGCCUCCUCUACGAACCAGUCCUGCACCAAAUUGGUUCGUUCAUGCUUGAAGUGAAUACAUGAGGAGCUGAUGUUUUCUUGUAUCUCUUUGGAGUCUAUCUGUACCUUUACUUGUUGGAGUCUUGGGGAGCACUCAGUGGUGUGGUUUAUCUUUUCCUUAUGGGUCUGCAACAACUGGUGUUCCUAGAUUUUUAUUUCUUAAAUUAAUAAAAAAGCAGCGCUGGAUUCAGCCAGUUCCAUGAUUUUUUUUGUACUUUCAUCUGUUCUAAUUUUCUCCAGUAGUUAGGUCUAUGUCAAAAUGUGUCAUUUUAGCUUGGAUGAUAGAAUAUAUAACGUGCAAAAUUAUAGUCACGCCGUUCUACCUUUCUCCUGUAGUUUAGUUACUUUUUUUGGAAUCUACAGGUGCAAUAAUUUUGCUCUACAAUAAGACUGUCGUUUUCUUGCUGAUAAUUAGAACAUUUUGGAUGCUCGUUGUUUAUUUUUUGCAUCCAGGUUUGGUAGUAGUGUUGGUGUGUGUGGCGUAGUUUCUGAUGUUUUGAGGGUACCCCUAAAGGGGGACUAACCUGAGACAUGUGGUUGUGUUCUAUUAGUUUUCAGUAAUGGAAAUUGGGAGCUAUCCUCCUAAGUAGAAAAAUUGGAAAAAAAUGGGUCAUGAGUCUAGCUGAGUACCAUGCUCUUUUGUUCUAUAUGUAAUCCUUACAAAAAGUUCUCUAAUUUUCACUUGGUGCUUUCACUAAAGUAAACUUUUUGGAUUGUUUGUUCUGUGAGCAGCGUGCAUCUUCUUUUUUACUCUCCACCAAGAAGUGUCAACUACGCCAUACAAGCAUGUGCGAUGAAUAUAUUUCACUUCAAUUAUCGCAUGGCCUUACAAGCCACAUAAGCUUAUGUUCUUAUGAUUAUAUAUUUACCAAUUACUAUUAUGGUUGAUUUCUUAUAAGUGUUUGCUUCUAUGUAUGAAGCUUCGAGUGAAUCCUAAGUUCAUCGUAGAACCAGCAACGUGAGUACACGACAGCAAGCAAAACUGAGGAGGAAUCACGGUACUAAUUUGUGACCAGAUUGGUAAAAGAGGUAUUUUGCAGAAUUCUUUUAUAUCCUACAUGUCUCUUUUCUCUCUAUAUAAAGUAGCAUUAUUUGAAAAUAUCCUUGUAUUUCCUCUCAGAAGCUCACACCUGAAUAUCAUUAUAUAUGCUUGUGAAAAGGUUCUGUAUGUUCUUUUAGUUUCCAUACUAGUGUUAGUCAAUGCUGGAAUGAAGUUUGAGUUUUCUUUGAUGUACUACUUGCCUUUGUGUGCUUAUACAAAAAGAUAAGAUCCUAUGAUACCUAUGAUGUAAACAUGUUGUCCCUAUUUUGUCUUAUGUACAGACACAGUUCGAUGAUUCUUCACUUUCAGGAAAGUAAACUUAAUAUCGGUGGUAAUCACACCAUGCCAUGUGGGUUUAAUUAUCUUUCCAAACCUGAAACUGUUGUCAUGCUUUCCAGGAAGGGCAACUAGAUGUGCUUAAUUCGUGUGCCCAGACUUGAAACUAUUUUCAUUUGUUUGUUCCUUAUUAAAUCGAAUAGUAGGUGUUUUUCUUAUAAUAAAUAGGGGUGGUGAACUCUGUACAUUCUUUGAGUAUCGUAAUAAAUGUAAUGGAGAUUAUGUUUUCUAAUGUGUGUACUUGUCAUUUGGUCA